UACGUAGGGGGCAAGCGUUGUCCGGAUUUAUUGGGCGUAAGAGCGUGUAGGCGGCCAGACAGGUCCGUUGUGAAACUAGAGGCUAACCUCUAGACGUCGAUGGAAACCGUCUGGCUAGAGUCGGAAGAGGACGAAUGGAAUUCCGUGGGUGUAGCGGUGAAAGUGCGCAGAUAUCAGGAAGAACACCCGUGGCUAAGGCGGUCUCUAGUACGGACUGACGCUGAGACGCGAAGCGUGGGGGGAGCGAACAGG
rnacentral:rRNA from 1 species